rnacentral:lncRNA from 1 species
GAAACCCAGAGAACUUGGGAGUACACAGUAUAAAUAAAGCAAGUGGCUCACACUCAUUCAUUUGAAUGAGCACUUUUGCAGGGCUAGCAUCUUUUAAUGUCGACAAAACAAGAAUAAAGAAUGAGUGCCCGUGCGCAGCGGAGAUGCCACCUUCCCCAAAGCCAUGGACAACGUGACGGUCCGGCAGGGGGAGAGCGCCACCCUCAGGUAGGGAGCUGUCUUUCUUCUAUGAAUUGACAAUGAUGCGUAUGGGUUGUGGGGGGAGAGGGGCAGGGGUGCAGGUGUGUGCACUGGCACAGCUGGUACGGAGGUCGCUGGUUCCUUGGGCUGCAGGAUUCACGGAUGAGCUGAGUGCUCUGCCCCGGGAACGUGGUGGUGUUAGGGAAACGCUCAGAGGUUGGGGAGAUGAGCUGUUUCCCCAAAACUGGCCUCCUUGGCUCGGGACUUGGUGUAGAUGGAGGAAGUGGAAUACGAUGGGGCUUCCUCUCUAGACCCAGCCCUGCCAUGGCAUAAAAAGGCCCUCCUAGAACAACUCCUGCCAUUCUUUGCCAUUCUGUGCCAGCCCCUGGGACUAAAUGUCUGACUGACAUACAGAAGGAAGACCGUUCCAGUGGAUGGAGCCCUACAGAGCAGGACUUAGAGGAGCCAGAAUGUGACUGACACCAACCCACUGGCCAAUGGCCUGAUUUAGGAUGUGAAUUGGGCAGCUGGUGUCACAGACGACUUGCACAGAG